rnacentral:rRNA from 1 species
CAAGACCUUGCGCUGAUGGAGCGGCCGAUGUCAGAUUAGCUAGUUGGUGGGGUAAAGGCUCACCAAGGCGACGAUCUGUAGCGGGUCUUAGAGGAUGAUCCGCCACACUGGAACUGAGACACGGUCCAGACUCCUACGGGAGGCAGCAGUGGGGAAUUUUGGACAAUGGGCGCAAGCCUGAUCCAGCCAUGCCGCGUGAGUGAAGAAGGCCUUCGGGUUGUAAAGCUCUUUCGGCCGGGAAAAAAUCGCUUGGGUUAAUACCCUGAGUGGAUGAUGGUACCGGAAUAAGAAGCACCGGCUAACUACGUGCCAGCAGCCGCGGUAAUACGUAGGGUGCGAGCGUUAAUCGGAAUUACUGGGCGUAAAGCGUGCGCAGGCGGUUUUGUAAGACAGGCGUGAAAUCCCCGGGCUCAACCUGGGAACU